UGGGGAAUAUUGGACAAUGGGCGCAAGCCUGAUCCAGCCAUGCCGCGUGAGUGAUGAAGGCCCUAGGGUUGUAAAGCUCUUUCACCGGUGAAGAUAAUGACGGUAACCCGAGAAGAAGCCCCGGCUAACUUCGUGCCAGCAGCCGCGGUAAUACGAAGGGGGCUAGCGUUGUUCGGAUUUACUGGGCGUAAAGCGCACGUAGGCGGACUUUUAAGUCAGGGGUGAAAUCCCGGGGCUCAACCCCGGAACUGCCUUUGAUACUGGAAGUCUUGAGUAUGGUAGAGGUGAGUGGAAUUCCGAGUGUAGAGGUGAAAUUCGUAGAUAUUCGGAGGAACACCAGUGGCGAAGGCGGCUCACUGGACCAUUACUGACGCUGAGGUGCGAAAGCGUGGGGAGCAAACAGG
rnacentral:rRNA from 1 species